UACGUAGGGGGCAAGCGUUGUCCGGAAUUAUUGGGCGUAAAGAGCGCGUAGGCGGUCCGAUAAGUCGGCUGUGAAAGUCAGGGGCUCAACCCUUGAAAGCCGGCCGAUACUGUCGGACUAGAGUCCGGAAGAGGCAAGUGGAAUUCCCGGUGUAGCGGUGAAAUGCGCAGAUAUCGGGAGGAACACCAAUGGCGAAGGCAGCUUGCUGGGACGGUACUGACGCUGAGGUGCGAAAGCGUGGGGAGCAAACAGG
rnacentral:rRNA from 1 species